rnacentral:tRNA from 1 species
GCCUGGGAUAACUCAGCUGGUAGAGCAUGAGACUUAAUCUCAGGGUUGUGGAUUCAAGCCCCAUGUUAUGCA